GUUGUAAAAUGCGGAAAAUAUAGCCCUACAAAAUUUGCAAAUUUUGUAUUAAUUUUUAUUACGCACGUGAAAAUGCAGCACUUUCGGCCCAAAUGUGGUGCAUUUUCCCGCAUGUAAUACAAAAUAAUACAAAAUUUGCAAAUUUCGCAGGGCUAUAUUUUCGGCAUGUAGUAAAAC